rnacentral:rRNA from 1 species
GACGGAGGAUGCAAGUGUUAUCCGGAAUCACUGGGCGUAAAGCGUCUGUAGGUGGUUCGAAAAGUCCACUGUUAAAAAUUGAGGCUUAACUUCAAAGAUGCCGUGGAAACUUUCAAACUAGAGUAUGGUAGGGGUAGAGGGAAUUUCCAGUGGAGCGGUGAAAUGCGUAGAUAUUGGAAAGACCACCGAUGGCGAAGGCACUCUACUGGGCCAUUACUGACACUGAGAGACGAAAGCUAGGGGAGCAAAUGGU